UGGGGAAUUUUGGACAAUGGGCGAAAGCCUGAUCCAGCCAUGCCGCGUGAGUGAAGAAGGCCUUCGGGUUGUAAAGCUCUUUUAGUCGGAAAGAAAGAGUUGCAAUGAAUAAUUGUGAUUUAUGACGGUACCGACAGAAAAAGCACCGGCUAACUACGUGCCAGCAGCCGCGGUAAUACGUAGGGUGCGAGCGUUAAUCGGAAUUACUAGGCGUAAAGGGUGCGCAGGCGGUUUUGUAAGUCAGAUGUGAAAUCCCCGGGCUUAACCUGGGAAUUGCGUUUGAAACUGCAAGACUAGAGUGCAGCAGAGGGGAGUGGAAUUCCAUGUGUAGCAGUGAAAUGCGUAGAGAUGUGGAAGAACACCGAUGGCGAAGGCAGCUCCCUGGGUUGACACUGACGCUCAUGCACGAAAGCGUGGGGAGCAAACA
rnacentral:rRNA from 1 species